CAGUAGCCGCGGGAAUACGUAGGGUGCAAGCGUUAAUCGGAAUUAAUGGGCGUAAAGCGUGCGCAGGCGGUUAUAUAAGACAGAUGUGAAAUCCCCGGGCUCAACCUGGGAACUGCAUUUGUGACUGUAUAGCUAGAGUACGGCAGAGGGGGAUGGAAUUCCGCGUGUAGCAGUGAAAUGCGUAGAUAUGCGGAGGAACACCGAUGGCGAAGGCAAUCCCCUGGGCCUGUACUGACGCUCAUGCACGAAAGCGUGGGGAGCAAACAGGAUUAGAUACCCCUGUAGUCCCUGUCUCUUAUAC
rnacentral:rRNA from 1 species